CAGCAGCCGCGGUAAUUCCAGCUCCAAUAGCGUAUAUUAAAGUUGUUGCAGUUAAAAAGCUCGUAGUUGAAUUUCGGGAUCAGUAGGUUGGUCAUGCCUAUGGUAUGUACUGGCUUUACUGGUUCCUCCUUCUUGAUGAUCUGUAAUGUCAUUAAUUUGGUGUUGCAGGGAGUCAGGACUGUUACUUUGAAAAAAUUAGAGUGUUUAAAGCAGGCAUACGCUUGAAUACAUUAGCAUGGAAUAAUGAAAUAGGACGUUCGAUCCUAUUUUGUUGGUUUCUAGGAUUGACGUAAUGAUUAAUAGGGAUAGUUGGGGGCAUUAGUAUUCAAUUGUCAGAGGUGAAAUUCUUGGAUUUAUUGAAGACUAAA
rnacentral:rRNA from 1 species